rnacentral:rRNA from 1 species
CCUACGGGGGGCAGCAGUAAGGAAUAUUGCUCAAUGGGGGAAACCCUGAAGCAGCAACGCCGCGUGAAGGAUGACGUACUUUUGUAUGUAAACUUCUGUAAGAUAGGAAAUUGUACUAUCAGAGUAAGCCCCGGCUAACUACGUGCCAGCAGCCGCGGUAAUACGUAGGGGGCAAGCGUUGUCCGGAUUCACUGGGUGUAAAGGGUGCUCAGGCGGACUUGUAAGUCAGAGGUGAAACUCCGAGGCUCAACCUCGGAACUGCCUUUGAUACUGCAAGUCUCGAGUACGGGAGAGGGUAAUAGAAUAACAGGUGUAGCAGUGAAAUGCGUAGAUAUCUGUUAGAAUACCAAUGGCGAAGGCAGUUGCCUGGCCGUACUGACGCUAAAGCACGAAAGUGUGGGGAGCAAACAGGAUUAGAUACCCUUGUAGUC